UGUGGUCAAGUUUUUAAGAGCACACGGUGGAUGCCUUGGCAUUAGGAGCCGAAGAAGGACGUAGGAAUCUGCGAUAAGCCUGGGGGAGUCGAUAACCGGACUGUGAUCCCAGGGUGUCCGAAUGGGGAAACCCCGCCAGGCGCGCGAGUGACCUGGUGACCCGCAUCUGAACACAUAGGGUGUGUGGGGGGAACGCGGGGAAGUGAAACAUCUCAGUACCCGCAGGAAGAGAAAACAAUAGUGAUUCCGUUAGUAGUGGCGAGCGAACGCGGAUCAGGCUAAACCGUUCCAUGUGUGAUAGCCGGCGGGCGUUGCAUGGGCGGGGUUGUGGGACUUUCCAUACUGGUUCUGCCGGACCGGUGGGGUGUGAUGUGCAGGCAUAGGUGAACGGUCUUGAAAGGCCGGCCAGAGAGGGUGUGAGCCCCGUAACCGUAAUGUUUUGUGCCGCCUGUGAGAGUAUCCCAAGUAGCACGGGGCCCGAGAAAUCCCGUGUGAAUCUGUCAGGACCACCUGAUAAGCCUAAAUACUCCCUAAUGACCGAUAGCGGACCAGUACCGUGAGGGAAAGGUGAAAAGUACCCCGGGAGGGGAGUGAAACAGUACCUGAAACCGUGUGCUUACAAUCCGUCGGAGCAACCGCACCUUGUGUGCAUAGUAGUUGUGACGGCGUGCCUUUUGAAGAAUGAGCCUGCGAGUUAGUGUUACGUCGCGAGGUUAACCCGUGUGGGGAAGCCGUAGCGAAAGCGAGUCUGAAUAGGGCGUUGCAGUGGCGUGAUCUAGACCCGAAGCGAAGUGAUCUACCCAUGGCCAGGUUGAAGCGACGGUAAGACGUCGUGGAGGACCGAACCCACUUCAGUUGAAAAUGGAGGGGAUGAGCUGUGGGUAGGGGUGAAAGGCCAAUCAAACUUCGUGAUAGCUGGUUCUCCCCGAAAUGCAUUUAGGUGCAGCGUUGCGUGUUUCUUGCUGGAGGUAGAGCUACUGGAUGGCUAAUGGGCCCUACAAGGUUACUGACGUCAGCCAAACUCCGAAUGCCGGUAAGUGAGAGCGCAGCAGUGAGACUGUGGGGGAUAAGCUUCAUAGUCGAGAGGGAAACAGCCCAGACCACCAACUAAGGCCCCUAAGCGUGUGCUAAGUGGGAAAGGAUGUGGAGUUGCGAAGACAACCAGGAGGUUGGCUUAGAAGCAGCCAUCCUUAAAAGAGUGCGUAAUAGCUCACUGGUCAAGUGAUUCCGCGCCGACAAUGUAGCGGGGCUCAAGUACACCGCCGAAGUUGUGGCAUUCAAAUAUUAGCUAAGCCCUUGUGGUUCAGGCGUUUGGAUGGGUAGGGGAGCGUCGUGUGGGCAGUGAAGUCGCGGUGUAAACCAGCGGUGGAGCCUACACGAGUGAGAAUGCAGGCAUGAGUAGCGAAAGACGGGUGAGAAACCCGUCCGCCGAAUGAUCAAGGGUUCCAGGGUCAAGCUAAUCUGCCCUGGGUAAGUCGGGACCUAAGGCGAGGCCGACAGGCGUAGUCGAUGGACAACGGGUUGAUAUUCCCGUACCGGCGAAAAACCGUCCAUGUUGAACAGGGGAUACUAACCGCCCGAGACCUGACCGCCCGCCCUUGUGGUGACGUGGUUUUUGGUGGAGCGCGGGACCUGAUCCUGGGAGGCAAGCGUAUUAACAGGUGUGACGCAGGAAGGUAGCCAAGCCGGGCGAUGGUUGUCCCGGUCUAAGGAUGUAGGGCGAAUGGUAGGCAAAUCCGCUGUUCAUGAUGCCUGAGAUCUGAUGGGACCCCCUUUAGUGGGGGGAUUUGGUGAUCCUAUGCUGCCGAGAAAAGCAUCGACGCGAGGUUUUAGCCGCCCGUACCCCAAACCGACACAGGUGAUCAGGUAGAGAAUACUAAGGCGAUCGAGAGAAUUAUGGUUAAGGAACUCGGCAAAAUGCCCCCGUAACUUCGGGAGAAGGGGGGCCCCAACCUUGAACACCACACGCUGGUGGGAGGGGAUCGGGGCCGCAGAGACCAGGGGGAAGCGACUGUUUACUAAAAACACAGGUCCGUGCGAAGUCGCAAGACGAUGUAUACGGACUGACUCCUGCCCGGUGCUGGAAGGUUAAGAGGACCGGUUAGCCGCAAGGCGAAGCUGAGAAUUUAAGCCCCAGUAAACGGCGGUGGUAACUAUAACCAUCCUAAGGUAGCGAAAUUCCUUGUCGGGUAAGUUCCGACCUGCACGAAUGGAGUAACGACUUCCCCGCUGUCUCAACCAUAAACUCGGCGAAAUUGCAGUACGAGUAAAGAUGCUCGUUACGCGCAGCAGGACGGAAAGACCCCGAGACCUUUACUAUAGUUUGGUAUUGGUGUUCGGAGUGGCUUGUGUAGGAUAGG
rnacentral:rRNA from 1 species